CUGCUACUCCCUCCGUCCGAAAAUACUUGUCAGCGAAAUGGAUGCAUCCAAACGUAUUUCAGUUCUUAGAUACAUCCAUUUUUAUCUAUUUAUGCGACAAGUAUUUCCGGACGGAGGGAGUAUGUU
rfam:Triticum aestivum genome assembly, contig: Triticum_aestivum_CS42_TGACv1_scaffold_148026_2BS